rnacentral:rRNA from 1 species
UCCAGACUCCUACGGGAGGCAGCAGUGAGGAAUAUUGGUCAAUGGCCGAGAGGCUGAACCAGCCAAGUCGCGUGAGGGAUGACGGCCCUACGGGUUAUAAACCUCUUUUGCCAGGGAGCAAAGAGCGGGACGCGUCCCGCCUCGAGAGUACCCGGAGAAAAAGCAUCGGCUAACUCCGUGCCAGCAGCCGCGGUAAUACGGAGGAUCCGAGCGUUAUCCGGAUUUAUUGGGUUUAAAGGGAGCGUAGAUGGGUUGUUAAGUCAGUUGUGAAAGUUUGCGGCUCAACCGUAAAAUUGCAAUUGAUACUGGCAGUCUUGAGUACAGUUGAGGUAGGCGGAAUUCGUGGUGUAGCGGUGAAAUGCAUAGAUAUCACGCAGAACUCCGAUUGCGAAGGCAGCUUACUAAACUAUAACUGACACUGAAGCACGAAAGCGUGGGGAUCAAACAGGAUUAGAUACCCCUGUAC